AUGCCCCUACGUGUCAUCAUUGUCAUUGGAACUCAGACACCUCCGUUACCCAGAGAGGAACUGCAGCUGUCUCUGAUCAUGCCAGCAGGUGUCCUCUCCCAGGUGCAGCUGGUCCAGUCCGGCCCGGGAGCGGUGAAGCCUGGCGAGACCCUCACCCUGACCUGCGCUGUCUCGGGUUACUCCAUCACCAGUGGUUACGGUUGGCACUGGAUUCGGCAGCCUCCCGGAAAAGGGCUGGUGUGGCUUGGAGUGGGAUAUUACAGCAGUUCCACCUGGAAUACAAACUACGCCUCAUCCUUCCAGAGCCGAAUCACCAACUCCACUGACUCCUCCAAGAACCAGUUCUCCCUGCAGCUCCGCUCGCUGACAGCUGCAGACACCGGCACCUAUUACUGCGCCAGAGACAUAGUGACACAGAGCAAAGCAGGGACCAUACAAAAAGGGGAAGCGGAGCCUACAUAG